ACUUAAAUUGAAGAGUUUGAUCAUGGCUCAGAUUGAACGCUGGCGGCAGGCCUAACACAUGCAAGUCGAGCGGUAGCACAGAGAGCUUGCUCUCGGGUGACGAGCGGCGGACGGGUGAGUAAUGUCUGGGAAACUGCCUGAUGGAGGGGGAUAACUACUGGAAACGGUAGCUAAUACCGCAUAACGUCGCAAGACCAAAGUGGGGGACCUUCGGGCCUCAUGCCAUCAGAUGUGCCCAGAUGGGAUUAGCUAGUAGGUGGGGUAACGGCUCACCUAGGCGACGAUCCCUAGCUGGUCUGAGAGGAUGACCAGCCACACUGGAACUGAGACACGGUCCAGACUCCUACGGGAGGCAGCAGUGGGGAAUAUUGCACAAUGGGCGCAAGCCUGAUGCAGCCAUGCCGCGUGUGUGAAGAAGGCCUUCGGGUUGUAAAGCACUUUCAGCGGGGAGGAAGGCGUUAAGGUUAAUAACCUUGGCGAU
rnacentral:rRNA from 1 species